rnacentral:rRNA from 1 species
GGGGGGGGGGGGGGGGGGGCGGGGCGGGGGGAGGGCGGGGGGCGGCGGGGCGUGGGGUGCGGGGGUGAUGGCGAGGGGCGGGCGGGUGAGUAGUGCGUGGGCACGUGCCUGUUAGUGGGGGAGAACGUAGCGAAAGUUACGCUAAUACCGCAUAUUCGCGGAGGCGGCGAGCCGGGGACCUUCGGGCCUUGCGCUAGAAGAGCGGCCGAUGUCGGAUUAGCUAGUUGGUGAGGUAAAGGCUCACCAAGGCAACGAUCCGUAGCGGGUCUGAGAGGAUGAUCCGCCACACUGGGACUGAGACACGGCCCAGACUCCUACGGGAGGCAGCAGUGGGGAAUUUUGGACAAUGGGCGCAAGCCUGAUCCAGCCAUGCCGCGUGAGUGAAGAAGGCCUUCGGGUUGUAAAGCUCUUUCGGCUGGGAAGAAAUCGCACCCUCUAAUACAGGGUGUGGAUGACGGUACCAGCAUAAGAAGCACCGGCUAACUACGUG